UCCACUUUUCCCAGCUGUGUGGGGUACCGGGGCCUGCGCCUGCGGACAAGUUCUCCAGGGGAUGGGAGAAGAGAUAGGGAUGUCAGACGAAGAAACGAAUGGCGUGUCAGGUUUUGUAGGAAGAGAAAGAAGAGCGAAGUUCGCGGAUCCGGCUACGAUCGGUCGCGCCUCCUGUGACGUCCAGUGGCAGAGGCCAAAAGGAUUUCUGGGGCAGCCUCGAGAGAAAGAAUCCGGCGUGCGGGGCCCAUAGACAUUAUUCUAAAUAUGGCACUUGCAGUGUCUGACAUUCUCUUGUUUUUUUUUUUUUUCCUUUUUUAACGAUGCUUUAAAAAAAAAAAUCUUUUGUCUCCUAAGCGGGCUUUUAUAUAAUGUAAGCCCAGUGAGGCCCUAGACUUUAUUUAAUUAACUCCCAGUAACCCCGACCCCUGGGACAUGGAGGCACAUUGUUUUAGUGUCAAAGCAGCUACCUUGAAAGGAUCCUGGGCUUGAAACCAUACCUCAGUUCAAAUUUUAUUCUGCUGUACCAAGCCCUUGGGUGAGUUAGUCUUUCAGCCUCAGUACCCCUUCAGGAAAAUGCUGUGCUAACACCUUCUGUAAAGAAUGAUCAGUGGAGCAGAGAUUACAUAACACAAUUGGUGCAGAGUAAGUGCUUAAGAGCCAGUAGCUAGUUUUUAGAAAGUUUUUCAUCUUAGGAGACAGUCUAGAGAAGGAGAGAAAGGGCAGGCUUUGGAGUGGCCCAGAGAUGGAUUAUAACCCUUGGCUCCUGUACUUGUCUAGGACACAUACUCUCUCUCCCCCAGCUGUAGUUUCCUCACCUCUGAGAUGGAAAUUAAAAUGCUAGUGCUGUGAGGAUUGGAGCUAAGGUAUGUGAAAUGCCUCUCCUGUUGGCUCUACCUGGAGAUUUGUUGUAGUCUACUGAUUGUCAUCAAAGGAGAGAGGUGACAGGAUGGUGGUGUAAGAGGAAAAAAACCUUGAGUUUCAUAGUCUGAAAAUGUGGUUACAGGUUCUUGCUGUGUUCCUUCUCCCUGUGGUUUUCUGAACCAAUAACCUGAAGCCUCAAGCUCUUCAUCUGCAAAAAUGUUUUGUAUCAGGCACCUCUGAUGCGUAUAUCUCAGGAUAGAAGAAGUGUCCUCUGAGACAACAACAACAAAUUAAGAUUAAGAGGGGAAGAACUAGAAUGAGAUUCAUACACUGUCCCUCCCCCAUCCAAGAGAAGGAGAGGCUGUUUGGUAAUGCCUGCCUACUCCUUCCUGGGCAGAACCUUUGUAGAAUGGAACCUGGGAGAAUUUGCAGUCUGCUAAGGGCAUUUUAGUCAGUUUCUGACAUAGGUUGGUAGGGAGGCCCUUGAAUUUGCAUUUCUAACAAGUUCUGUAGUGAUGCUUCAAAUGUCUAAGCGGAAGGGUUACCCCACAGAGAUUUCUGCCACACUGCAUGCAAAGGAAGCCACAGAUAUCCCCAGCCCUGAAGCCUGAAACCAAAACACUGAAAAUGAAACACCAGAGUGGACAAGGAACAUCUCAGAAUUUCUGUGGGAACCAGUGACUCAAGGACCUGACAUCUCCUUCUUCUCAUCUUGGCACUUCAGAAAUCAUCCCAGCCUGGAUAUAGCCCUGGGGAAAGGGAGAGAUCCUCCCGCUGAUAAGAUUAUUGUCACUGCAGCUAAAUGGGGCCUUUAUGCAGAAAUCAGUUUCACUUACAGAAAAAAAUUUUAUUUAUUACACAUUUGAGUUUGUAGACUGAAUCUCAUUCUUACCACAGUAUUAUCUGUGAGCAUUAUAUAGUGGCCAUAAGGCACUAAACAUUUUAAGCUUAGUAUUGUGAGGAUUCUCACUUAGAGACUGUGAGGUUUUAUUCAUUAACAUUUUUAUUUGGUGGCUAUAGUUGACAAGGACAAAGCUAAGAGGAACCAACAAACAUUGCCCUGCCUGACAUUGUAAUCUUACUAGGUGGUAGGUUCCUCUAGAGCAGGGUCAAUACAUUUCCUUUGACUCCCUCCCCUAGUCACUAGCAUACAAAGUGCUUGUGCUUAGUAGGUGAUCAAUAAAUGUUUGUGGAAUGAAUACAUUAUGAAUAAAAUAUAUACUCAGGA